rnacentral:lncRNA from 1 species
CCAUCUCCUACAAAAUCCACCUAGUCUUAAAACUACUACUCAUCAGUAGCACUGGAGUAGCAAACCAUAGCAAACACAAGAUAACAAGAAUUCAAUUCAAGUAAUUGAAAAGGGAAAGAAUGAUUCAAUAAUUAAGCCAUGACACAUCUACACAAAAGGUUUCAUUAUUAAAGGUUCUCUAGCAUUGACAUUCUUUGCUACCAACAUAAUGAAACCACUUUAAAAGGUAGUAAUUAAAUUUCUCUACUUUAUAUGUUAUAGUAUUAGUUAAAUUGAUAAGCCCUUAGUAAGAAGUGAAUCAGUCUUCUUGUUUUGCUCUCUCUUGAGGACUCUACUUGAACUAGAACUAGUACAUUAAUUCUCUAUUCAUCUUGUUUUGCUCUCUUUUGGUUGUGUACUUGUGUUUUAUAUUCAUGGUACUCUAAAUUGAUCAAACUUUCCAAUAUUCAAGGAAAACAACAAUUUCUCUACUUGCUCAGCAGUCAGCAAUCAACUAAGGUGGGAGACUAUGUUGCUCGGACUCUCUAAAAAUGUUUCUACACCCGUUUUGGAUCUUCCAAAAAUAUUGUACUUUUGGAGAUUCGUUAUGCACCCAUCGAUUUUUUUGAAGAGUUCAAGCAACAUGGUGGGAGAUACUACACAUACUUAGAAAGUGGGAAAGUUUCCUAGUUUCACUACAUGUUUAUACCUCCAGAUUUUCAACUGAAGUCCUUGUAGAAAAUUUAUGCCUCAGAUGUAGAUUAAAAAUAUGUUUCGUGUACUCAUUUGGUACACUUUUAAAACACUAAUUUUAACAGAAUUCAAACAACAGACUAAAGAACACAUAGAGCUAAUAUAUAGCAAAAUUCAAAAUCCUAGCACGAAUUGAAACCCAAUUUAGUUAAAAACAUAACCAGUCAUUGUAAA